GGGCAGUGGUUUCAAGGUCCUGUGAAUUUUUUUGUUUGUGGGUUGGCUGGUUCAAUCAACCAUUCAUUCAGAAAGGAUGUGAUGAGAUGUGUCUGCUGUGCCCUGGGUCCUGGGCGAGGUGUGCCGGACACACAGCGGAAUGCGCAGCGGCCAGCAGCCUCUCCCCUUGCUGCCAAAGGUGGACUCACUCCCUCUCAGCAAGCCCCCCACACCAAAGUUCUGCCACCAAAGCCGGGCAGGCCUGACACGGCUGAUGACCAGUAGGGGGUCUUCUUGUUACAGCUUUUUCCCCAGAGAUAAAUAGGCCACAGUAAAAAAGAUUGCUACAUCCUUUCAAUAAAGAUUUUUUUUUUCUAUUCCAGACAGCUUGAGAAAUGUUUUAAAAGCUUCUCACAUUUCCAGUGAAACCCACAGAGAAGAAUUUUGCUUGUUAUCAGCCCUGGAAGCCUCUGAUAGACAGGUGACAUUUUUUUCUUUUUCUUUCCCUUUUUCUUUUUUCCUUUUUUUCACCAGCUGAAGAGAGUCACAGUGUGUUUUAUAACUGGCUCUCUGCAUUUCAAAAGCUCAACGAGGGCUCUCUGCUAACCCCGAUAAGCCUUGGGCUCUUAGCGUCUUAAAUACCUCUGACAAGCUAUACAUUACAGCGCUAAUAAUUUGCCAAAUUUGCGCCCAUAAUAUGAUAUCUGUAAAACGUCAAGGGCAGUAAUGCGAUUAGCGGUCUCAAAUGAAAUAUCGAACAUUCAGCGUUUAGGUCCUGAAUAGGGGGAGAAAGGAAAGGAAAUCAAUUUCAAAAGCAGGAGGGAAAAAGGCGAUAAGCGUAUAAUAAAAAUAGAGAGAGACAGAGAAGAGAUGCUGAGGAAGAGGCGGCGAGCAAGACACGGGCAGAGAUACACCCGACCUGCGUUCGUUGUUUUUAGGCAGCUUUACGAGCACUUGCCGAGAGCAGCUUGCGGAGAGCAGCGAGCGCUAGCACCGCCCCCCCGCCCCGUCCAGCUUCUCCCCAUGCGUUUUUGGGAGCCCACUCCAGCCAGGCUGCUGCUGGGGCACCAGGUGAGGGGCGGCUCACCCUCCCCGAAGCCACAGCCACAGCUGAGUACCUACGACCUGCAGGGAGACGAGACAGAGCUGCGCCAGAAGAAAGAAAACGAUGAUAGACGCAGAAGACAGGGCCUUAGCAAGGGCAUAGCAGCCAGGAAGAGCAGGAUCAACUCCUUUCCCCACUCCAAACGCUGGCGCCCUCUACUCCAGCGCCUCCCUCCGCCUCCCUACAGCUGGAGGCUCACAGCCGCUUCCCAGGCUGCUCAACUAGGCAAGGAAGGGCAAGAGGCGGUGCAGGGCCUCUGGCGGGGUAAAAGUGAGCAGGCGGCUUGGGGCCUGCCCCAGACCCUUCCUCAGGGCAGCCUGGAAUGGCCAUUACAGGGCCACUUCUUGCGGCACCACGAGCCAUUAAAGCAGGAGAGCUCAGGGAGCCAUCAGCCCCCCACAGAUGACUUCCCCAGAUGUGGCAGCGGGCAGGAUGUGGAAGCCCCUAGCCCCAACUCGACAGACAAAACAUUCCCGCACUAACCAUCCUCAGAAACCCCAUAGCCCAGAGCCCCUCUUACAGAUGCUUUCUAGACCAUUUAGCAGGAGGCAGUGUUUAUUUUUGAACAUAUGUUCUUCCCCAUCUCUCCCUUUUCUUCUUCCUUCCUGGCCCUUCCUUCCAUACCAAGGCUGACCAC
rnacentral:lncRNA from 1 species